GUAGGGCUACAGUUUAGAUUUCCGUUAUCAGAACGAUAAUGUCUAUAACAAAUAGGAAAAGGACGGUUACUUGUACUUGUUGGUGGCGUCGUGUCAAGAUUUCUACCCCUGUUCUAACUGGGUAGUCUGCUCAAACCUGUCCACGCUUGUGCGAAGCUAAAUGACUAUCAUAUGCUCGGCUUUUUUUCUCUUUCACAUUUCUUCUUAUAGCCGAAAACAUAAUCCGUUAUCAAUUUGACCGCACAUUCUAAUUGACGAAACUAUAGAGUGCGAAUGCAUUUUGUUUCGGGUUAUAUCUGGCUAACCAACAUAACCAUACCCUAUAUCAGAUCAUUAUACCGGUAUAUCUGACAGGGAUAUGCCCAUGACAGGUACCGAAGACGAUAUCCUGGCCUGUCAACCCUCCCGUCUGGAUCAACAAAGGCAUGAACGCUGCUGUCACCACAAGUGCGGUGUGUGGACAUCGACGCAACAAAUUGGAGCAGAAAAUCCACCAUCCUGCCGGUCGAUAUGUGUUGGUCACUCAACUGGCUGUACACAUGCAAGUUCGUGAGACAUGUCUAGUCAAAAUUAGAGACUCAAUUAUCUGACGAUACUCAAAAAUGCACCUCCUCCACCGAAUAUCAUUGGAUGGAAAUAAUACUCCAGAGAUGGAUAAGGGUAACAAGUGACAGAAAUAUGGGGCAAGCCAUCUUGACAUACACCUUCAUGUAGAAACAGUGCAGUAUCCAUAUAACUGCAUGAGUUGGUUGCAUAUUCAGUGAUCUCGGUAGGUACCAGUGAUACCCUCAUGCAAUGUUACCAAUUGUUAUCCCGCCAAAGGGCUUCAAGAGUCUGCAUCUAAUUGACAUUUGGUACGCUACCCUUCAUACAAUUCCUGUUCCUCGCCUCUGUUGGAUUUUCUUAUUGUGUAUGGGGUAAAUCGUAAUAUAUUCCAUAUCCUAUAUAGCAGCGCACUUGCUGUCGGAAAAUUUUUCUCUCAUACAGUGUAUCUAAGGUUUAUGGGAAUCCGAGUUUUGACACCAUUGAGUGCAUUAGCCUCAAAAUACGAGGACGAGAUUGCCUCAGACAUACAAAAACGGCUCUAUAGGUACCAGAAAAUCUGUCCGGCAUGUUUACGCGGCAUCUUCAGUAUUUCGAAGAGGUUCUCUCAUCUUCUUCUCUAUCUAUCAACCAUUUGUCAGAACUAAAGAAACGUUGUUGAUGACCGAUUAAGUUGCAUAUGAGACGGGAGCACAAAAGUUGAAGCAGCACAAUUGAAUUUAGGUAAUAUCGUACAAUUUCAAUCUCUAUCAGGUCAUGUUUCUACCCUAAUGACUCUGAAUGUUGGACAAAGCAUGUGCUCAGUUGAGAUCACAAGGCUAUUCUUUCCCCCUCCUCGUCGUCGUCACUCUUGUGUUGCUAGGACAAUAGUAUCGGUAUUUUUACUAAGAGGCAUUGCUGCGAGAGUAAAAUUGAGAUUCGGUCUUGAACGAAAUGUAUGAUGUGACCGGGCUAUAUUGGGUGAUUCGACCGCAUUCUUCACGCAUGUCAUUAUUCUUUCCAACGAGAGCGUUUGACAAACAAUA
rnacentral:lncRNA from 1 species